GAUGAACGCUGGCGGCGUGCCUAAUACAUGCAAGUCGAGCGAACAGACGAGGAGCUUGCUCCUCUGACGUUAGCGGCGGACGGGUGAGUAACACGUGGAUAACCUACCUAUAAGACUGGGAUAACUUCGGGAAACCGGAGCUAAUACCGGAUAAUAUAUUGAACCGCAUGGUUCAAUAGUGAAAGACGGUUUUGCUGUCACUUAUAGAUGGAUCCGCGCCGCAUUAGCUAGUUGGUAAGGUAACGGCUUACCAAGGCAACGAUGCGUAGCCGACCUGAGAGGGUGAUCGGCCACACUGGAACUGAGACACGGUCCAGACUCCUACGGGAGGCAGCAGUAGGGAAUCUCCCGCAAUGGGCGAAAGCCUGACGGAGCAACGCCGCGUGAGUGAUGAAGGUCUUCGGGUCGUAAAACUCUGUUAUUAGGGAAGAACAAAUGUGUAAGUAACUAUGCACGUCUUGACGGUACCUAAUCAGAAAGCCACGGCUAACUACGUG
rnacentral:rRNA from 1 species